rnacentral:RNase_P_RNA from 1 species
UGAGCAGGCCGGGCGGUCGCGGCGCGCUUCGGUGCGUCGAGGAAAGUCCGAGCUCCACAGGGCAAGGUGCUUCGUAACGCGAAGGCGGGGCAACCCGACGGAAAGUGGCACAGAAACUACACCGCCUACGUCCCUUUGAGACCGGCAAGGGUGAAAAGGUGCGGUAAGAGCGCACCAGCGGAUUGGCAACAGUCCGGCUGGCUAAACCCCACCUGGAGCAAUUCCAAAUAGGGGAGCGAUGGAGUGGCCCGCUCUGCUCCCGGGUAGGAAGCUUGAGGCGUGCGGUGACGUACGUCCUAGAGGAAUGGCCGCCUCGGGACGCUUCGGCGUCCUAGACAGGACUCGGCUUACAGGCCCGCUCACACG